UACAGAGGUCCCAAGCGUUGUUCGGAUUCACUGGGCGUAAAGGGUGCGUAGGCGGUCGGGUAAGUCUGAUGUGAAAUCUCACAGCUUAACUGUGAAACUGCAUUGGAUACUAUCCGGCUCGAGGAAUGGAGGGGAGACUGGAAUACUUGGUGUAGCAGUGAAAUGCGUAGAUAUCGGGAGGAACACCAGUGGCGAAGGCGGCGACCUGGGCCAAUACUGACGCUGAGGUGCGAAAGCGUGGGGAGCAAACAGG
rnacentral:rRNA from 1 species